rnacentral:rRNA from 1 species
UCCAAGCCGUAAAUUAUGCAUGCUAGAUGUUUUGGACCCUUGUGGUCUGGAGUGUCGUAAUCUAACGAGUUAAGCAUGCCGCCUGGGUAGUAUACUCGCAAGAGUGAAACUCAAAGGGAUAGGGCGGGGGAACACACAAGCAGUGGAUUGUCUAGAUUAAUUGGAUAAUAAGCCAAGAAUCUUACCUAGAUUUGACAUAUAUUAUGUCCUAUGUGAAAGCAUAGUAGUCCGAGCAAUCGGACAUGAUAUACAGGUGGUGCAUGGUCGUCGUCAGCUCGUGCCGCAAGGUGUCUAGUUAAGUCUGGAAACGGCGCAACCCUCAUUCUUUAGUUAGAAUG